rnacentral:rRNA from 1 species
GACGAACGCUGGCGGCGUGCUUAACACAUGCAAGUCGAACGGAAAGGCCCUGCUUUUGUGGGGUGCUCGAGUGGCGAACGGGUGAGUAACACGUGAGUAACCUGCCCUUGACUUUGGGAUAACUUCAGGAAACUGGGGCUAAUACCGGAUAGGAGCUCCUGCCGCAUGGUGGGGGUUGGAAAGUUUCGGCGGUUGGGGAUGGACUCGCGGCUUAUCAGCUUGUUGGUGGGGUAGUGGCUUACCAAGGCAUUGACGGGUAGCCGGCCUGAGAGGGUGACCGGCCACAUUGGGACUGAGAUACGGCCCAGACUCCUACGGGAGGCAGCAGUGGGGAAUAUUGCACAAUGGGCGGAAGCCUGAUGCAGCAACGCCGCGUGCGGGAUGACGGCCUUCGGGUUGUAAACCGCUUUCGCCUGUGACGAAGCGUGAGUGACGGUAAUGGGUAAAGAAGCACCGGCUAACUACGUG